rnacentral:rRNA from 1 species
GACGAACGCUGGCGGCGUGCUUAACACAUGCAAGUCGAACGGAAAGGCCCUGCUUUUGUGGGGUGCUCGAGUGGCGAACGGGUGAGUAACACGUGAGUAACCUGCCCUCGCCCCUCGCACAACUUCCGCCACCCGCGCCUCCUCCCCCCUCCGCGCCCCCCCUCCCUCCUGGGGCCUCGACCGCUCCGGCGGUUGGGGAUGGCCGCGCGGCUUAUCAGCCUGCCGGUGGGGCAGUGGCUUCCCCAGGCUCUGACGGGUAGCCGGCCUGAGAGGGUGACCGGCCACAUUGGGACUGAGAUACGGGCCAGAGGCCUACGGGAGGCAGCAGGGGGGAAGAUUGCAGAAUGGGCGGAAGCCGGAUGCAGCAACGCCGCGUGCGGGAUGACGGCCUUCGGGUUGUAGGCGGCUGGCGCCUGUGACGAAGGGUGAGUGAGGGUGAUGGGUGAAGAAGCACCGGCUAGCUACGUG